UACAGAGGGUGCAAACGUUGCUCGGAAUCAUUGGGCGUAAAGCGCACGUAGGCGGCCCAGCAAGCGGGGAGUGAAAGCCCUCGGCUUAACCGAGGAAGUGCUUUCCGAACUACUGGGCUUGAAUACUGGAGAGGGUCGCGGAAUUCCCGGUGUAGAGGUGAAAUGCGUAGAUAUCUGGAGGAACACCGGUGGCGAAGGCGGCAUUCUGGACCGGCAUUGACGCUGAGGCGCGAAAGCCAGGGGAGCAAACGGG
rnacentral:rRNA from 1 species